rnacentral:rRNA from 1 species
CAGCAGCCGCGGUAAUGCGAAGGGUGCAAGCGUUAAUCGGAAUUACUGGGCGUAAAGCGUGCGUAGGCGGUUUGUUAAGUCUGUUGUGAAAUCCCCGGGCUCAACCUGGGAAUGGCAAUGGAUACUGGCAAGCUAGAGUGUGUCAGAGGAUGGUGGAAUUCCCGGUGUAGCGGUGAAAUGCGUAGAGAUCGGGAGGAACAUCAGUGGCGAAGGCGGCCAUCUGGGACAACACUGACGCUGAGGCACGAAAGCGUGGGGAGCAAACAGGAUUAGAUACCCCUGUAGUCCCUGUCUCUUAUAC